rnacentral:lncRNA from 1 species
UUUUCAUUUCCCAGAUACAGCUGAUCGAGUUCGCCGAGUGGCCGAGCGAGUGAGCGCUCCUCCGACUUGGGUGGAGGAAGGACAGAAGAGCUCCUUGGCACUGGAUGCCUCCGGGUCUGGUUGAGAGAGGAAUGGUUAGGAGACUGUUCUGAGGAUACGCAGACAUCAUCCAAAGCUUCCUACAUUCAGAUGAGGACAGAGGUUGGGCCAGAGCUUUGUAAGCUUGUUACCUAAGGAUGGUUCUGACCAUGUAAGCAGAUCACAGAAGCACUGUUCACAAUAGCAAAGACUUGGAACCAAUCCAAAUGCCCAUCAAUGAACACCUGGAUAAAGAAAAUGUGGCACAUACACAGCAUGGAAUACUAUGCAGCCAUAAAUAAGGAUGAAUUCAUGUCCUUUGCAGGGACAUGGAUGAAGCUGGAAAACAUCAUUCUCAGCAAACUAAGCUGGAGGCAAAGGAUGCCAAGAUGGGAAAGCCACAUAAUGGAAGGAUCCUGGAUUUCAGAGCUGUCACUUGGAGGAGGGGCACCCAGUGAAGGUGUCUUAUCUAACCCACACCAUAUCUUCAUGAAGUGGCCAUAUGGAUUUGAUCCCUAUCCUUCAGAGGUGCUCAGCCUAAGGGAACACGGAUAGUAGAUUAAGCACUGACCAGGCAUGAAGAAACUGAAGCAUGGAGGAAAAACUUAGCAACUAGCCCAACGUCACACAGGCAAGCCAGCCUUGACAAUGUGCUGAUGGCAACC